rnacentral:rRNA from 1 species
AGAUUAAGUUAUUAAGGGCGCACGGUGGAUGCCUUGGCACUAGAAGCCGAAGAAGGACGUUACUAACGACGAUAUGCUUUGGGUAGCUGUAAGUAAGCGUUGAUCCAGAGAUUUCCGAAUGGGGGAACCCAACAUGAGUGAUGUCAUGUUAUCGACAUGUGAAUUCAUAGCAUGUCAGAAGGCAGACCCGGAGAACUGAAACAUCUUAGUACCCGGAGGAAGAGAAAGAAAAAUCGAUUCCCUGAGUAGCGGCGAGCGAAACGGGAAGAGCCCAAACCAACAAGCUUGCUUGUUGGGGUUGUAGGACACUCUAUACGGAGUUACAAAAGAACAUGUUAGACGAAUCAUCUGGAAAGAUGAAUCAAAGAAGGUAAAAAUCCUGUAGUCGAAAACAUAUUCUCUCUUGAGUGGAUCCUGAGUACGACGGAGCACGUGAAAUUCCGUCGGAAUCUAGGAGGACCAUCUCCUAAGGCUAAAUACUCUCUAGUGACCGAUAGUGAACCAGUACCGUGAGGGAAAGGUGAAAAGUACCCCGGAAGGGGAGUGAAAGAGAACUUGAAACCGUGUGCUUACAAGUAGUCAGAGCCCGUUAAUGGGUGAUGGCGUGCCUUUUGUAGAAUGAACCGGCGAGUUACGAUCUGAUGCAAGGUUAAGCAGCAAAUGUGGAGCCGUAGCGAAAGCGAGUCUGAAUAGGGCGUUGAGUAUUUGGUCGUAGACCCGAAACCAGGUGAUCUACCCUUGGUCAGGUUGAAGUUCAGGUAACACUGAAUGGAGGACCGAACCGACUUACGUUGAAAAGUGAGCGGAUGAACUGAGGGUAGCGGAGAAAUUCCAAUCGAACUUGGAGAUAGCUGGUUCUCUCCGAAAUAGCUUUAGGGCUAGCCUCAAGUGAUGAUUAUUGGAGGUAGAGCACUGUUUGGACGAGGGGCCCCUCUCGGGUUACCGAAUUCAGACAAACUCCGAAUGCCAAUCAAUUUAACUUGGGAGUCAGAACAUGGGUGAUAAGGUCCGUGUUCGAAAGGGAAACAGCCCAGACCACCAGCUAAGGUCCCAAAAUAUAUGUUAAGUGGAAAAGGAUGUGGCGUUGCCCAGACAACUAGGAUGUUGGCUUAGAAGCAGCCAUCAUUUAAAGAGUGCGUAAUAGCUCACUAGUCGAGUGACACUGCGCCGAAAAUGUACCGGGGCUAAACAUAUUACCGAAGCUGUGGAUUGUCCGUAGGACAAUGGUAGGAGAGCGUUCUAAGGGCGUUGAAGCAUGAUCGCAAGGACAUGUGGAGCGCUUAGAAGUGAGAAUGCCGGUGUGAGUAGCGAAAGACGGGUGAGAAUCCCGUCCACCGAUUGACUAAGGUUUCCAGAGGAAGGCUCGUCCGCUCUGGGUUAGUCGGGUCCUAAGCUGAGGCCGACAGGCGUAGGCGAUGGAUAACAGGUUGAUAUUCCUGUACCACCUAGUAUCGUUUUAAUCGAUGGGGGGACGCAGUAGGAUAGGCGAAGCGUGCUGUUGGAGUGCACGUCCAAGCAGUAAGGCUGAGUGUUAGGCAAAUCCGGCACUCGUAAGGCUGAGCUGUGAUGGGGAGAGGAAAUUGUUUCCUCGAGUCGUUGAUUUCACACUGCCGAGAAAAGCCUCUAGAUAGAUAACAGGUGCCCGUACCGCAAACCGACACAGGUAGUCAAGAUGAGAAUUCUAAGGUGAGCGAGCGAACUCUCGUUAAGGAACUCGGCAAAAUGACCCCGUAACUUCGGGAGAAGGGGUGCUCUUUAGGGUUCACGCCCAGAAGAGCCGCAGUGAAUAGGCCCAAGCGACUGUUUAUCAAAAACACAGGUCUCUGCUAAACCGUAAGGUGAUGUAUAGGGGCUGACGCCUGCCCGGUGCUGGAAGGUUAAGAGGAGUGGUUAGCUUCUGCGAAGCUACGAAUCGAAGCCCCAGUAAACGGCGGCCGUAACUAUAACGGUCCUAAGGUAGCGAAAUUCCUUGUCGGGUAAGUUCCGACCCGCACGAAAGGCGUAACGAUUUGGGCACUGUCUCAACGAGAGACUCGGUGAAAUCAUAGUACCUGUGAAGAUGCAGGUUACCCGCGACAGGACGGAAAGACCCCGUGGAGCUUUACUGUAGCCUGAUAUUGAAAUUCGGCACAGCUUGUACAGGAUAGGUAGGAGCCAUUGAAACGUGAGCGCUAGCUUACGUGGAGGCGUUGGUGGGAUACUACCCUAGCUGUGUUGGCUUUCUAACCCGCACCACUUAUCGUGGUGGGAGACAGUGUCAGGCGGGCAGUUUGACUGGGGCGGUCGCCUCCUAAAAGGUAACGGAGGCGCUCAAAGGUUCCCUCAGAAUGGUUGGAAAUCAUUCACAGAGUGUAAAGGCAUAAGGGAGCUUGACUGCGAGACCUACAAGUCGAGCAGGGUCGAAAGACGGACUUAGUGAUCCGGUGGUUCCGCAUGGAAGGGCCAUCGCUCAACGGAUAAAAGCUACCCCGGGGAUAACAGGCUUAUCUCCCCCAAGAGUUCACAUCGACGGGGAGGUUUGGCACCUCGAUGUCGGCUCAUCGCAUCCUGGGGCUGUAGUCGGUCCCAAGGGUUGGGCUGUUCGCCCAUUAAAGCGGUACGCGAGCUGGGUUCAGAACGUCGUGAGACAGUUCGGUCCCUAUCCGUCGUGGGCGUAGGAAAUUUGAGAGGAGCUGUCCUUAGUACGAGAGGACCGGGAUGGACAUACCUCUGGUGUACCAGUUGUCGUGCCAACGGCAUAGCUGGGUAGCUAUGUAUGGACGGGAUAAGUGCUGAAAGCAUCUAAGCAUGAAGCCCCCCUCAAGAUGAGAUUUCCCAACUUCGGUUAUAAGAUCCCUCGAAGAUGACGAGGUUAAUAGGUUCGAGGUGGAAGCGUGGCGACACGUGGAGCUGACGAAUACUAAUCGAUCGAAGACUUAAUCAAUUU